rnacentral:rRNA from 1 species
UACGAAGGGGCUAGCGUUGCUCGGAAUUACUGGGCGUAAAGCGCACGUAGGCGGCUCUUUAAGUCGGGGGUGAAAUCCUGGAGCUCAACUCCAGAACUGCCUUCGAUACUGAAGAGCUCGAGUCCGGGAGAGGUGAGUGGAACUGCGAGUGUAGAGGUGAAAUUCGUAGAUAUUCGCAAGGAACACCAGUGGCGAAGGCGGCUACUGGCCCGUACUGACGCUGAGGUGCGAAAGCGUGGGGAGCAAACA